rnacentral:rRNA from 1 species
GACGAGCGCUGGCGGCGUGCUUAACACAUGCAAGUCGAACGGAAAGGCCCUGCUUUUGUGGGGUGCUCGAGUGGCGAACGGGUGAGUAACACGUGAGUAACCUGCCCUUGACUUUGGGAUAACUUCAGGAAACUGGGGCUAAUACCGGAUAGGAGCUCCUGCUGCAUGGGGGGGGUUGGAAAGUUUCGGCGGUUGGGGAUGGACUCGCGGCUUAUCAGCUUGUUGGUGGGGUAGUGGCUUACCAAGGCUUUGACGGGUAGCCGGCCUGAGAGGGUGACCGGCCACAUUGGGACUGAGAGACGGCCCAGAAGCCUACGGGAGGCAGCAGUCGGGAAUAUUGCACAAUGGGCGGAAGCCUGAUGCAGCAACGCCGCGUGCGGGAUGACGGCCUUCGGGUUGUAAACCGCUUUCGCCUGUGACGAAGCGUGAGUGACGGUAAUGAGUAAGGAAGCACCGGCUAACUACGUG